GAGGAUGUAGCUUAGAGGUAGAGUGCUUGCCUAACAUGCAAGAGGCCCUUUGGGUUUGAUCCUCAGCCUCCUUA
rnacentral:tRNA from 1 species